rnacentral:rRNA from 1 species
AGUGAACGCUGACGGUAGGCCUAACACAUGCAAGUCGAACGGCAGCACAGUAAGAGCUUGCUCUUACGGGUGGCGAGUGGCGGACGGGUGAGGAAUACAUCGGAAUCUACUUUUUCGUGGGGGAUAACGUAGGGAAACUUACGCUAAUACCGCGUACGACCUACGGGUGAAAGCAGGGGAUCUUCGGACCUUGCGCGAUUGAAUGAGCCGAUGUCGGAUUAGCUAGUUGGCGGGGUAAAGGCCCACCAAGGCGACGAUCCGUAGCUGGUCUGAGAGGAUGAUCAGCCACACUGGAACUGAGACACGGUCCAGACUCCUACGGGAGGCAGCAGUGGGGAAUAUUGGACAAUGGGCGCAAGCCUGAUCCAGCCAUACCGCGUGGGUGAAGAAGGCCUUCGGGUUGUAAAGCCCUUUUGUUGGGAAAGAAAAGCAGCAGGUUAAUACCCCGCUGUUCUGACGGUACCCAAAGAAUAAGCACCGGCUAACUUCGUG